ACCACAUCAUCAGCCACUCUGGCGGAAACACAUUAGUGAGCAAGGUGACAGAGGCUCCCCCAAAAGCCCCAGGAGAGGAAGAAACAGGGGCGUGGUCUUACAAUUUGGUUGGUGAUUACGGAUCCUUAAAGCCCCAGCUAGUGCUGUCUCAAGAAUAUCAGUUUUCACCAUCAACACCAGUGCCUGUCUACGGCUCUCAAGGACUUCUCAGUCUGCAAGAAAUGUCACUCUCCAGCCUCAACCUCUUUCGAUAACUGCUCCUCCCUCCAAAAUGCUGCUCAAGCCUUUUAUGACUUACUGUUCUAUGACCCUACAUAGGUUAAGCAAAACCAGCCAGAGUACCCCCAAAGCCUCUCUCCACCGUGUAGCUGCCCAGAAGAACAGAGUUUCAUCUCUGUCAUUGAUUUGACAUUGCUGACCUGGGGGGAGAUGGGUCUAGAAACCAAAAGGCCAAAAAAAUAAAAGCAAAAGGCCUGACUCCAGCAGACA